AUUGAACGCUGGCGGCAGGCCUAACACAUGCAAGUCGAACGAGUGGCGGACGGGUGAGUAAUGUCUGGGAAACUGCCUGAUGGAGGGGGAUAACUACUGGAAACGGUAGCUAAUACCGCAUACCAUCGGAUGUGCCCAGAUGGGAUUAGCUAGUAGGUGGGGUAACGGCUCACCUAGGCGACGAUCCCUAGCUGGUCUGAGAGGAUGACCAGCCACAAUGGAACUGGGACACGGUCCAGACUCCUACGGGAGGCAGCAGUGGGGAAUAUUGCACAAUGGGCGCAAGCCUGAUGCAGCCAUGCCGCGUGUAUGAAGAAGGCAUGCGGGUUGUAAAGUACUUUCAGCGGGGAGGCGUUACCCGCAGAAGAAGCACCGGCUAACUCCGUGCCAGGAGCCGCGGUAAUAC
rnacentral:rRNA from 1 species